UGAGCCCUAUGCACCCCCAUACCG
rnacentral:piRNA from 1 species